AGUGAACGCUGGCGGUAGGCCUAGCACAUGCAAGUCGAACGGCAGCACAGUAAGAGCUUGCUCUUACGGGUGGCGAGUGGCGGACGGGUGAGGAAUACAUCGGAAUCUACUUUUUCGUGGGGGAUAACGUAGGGAAACUUACGCUAAUACCGCAUACGACCUACGGGUGAAAGCAGGGGAUCUUCGGACCUUGCGCGAUUGAAUGAGCCGAUGUCGGAUUAGCUAGUUGGCGGGGUAAAGGCCCACCAAGGCGACGAUCCGUAGCUGGUCUGAGAGGAUGAUCAGCCACACUGGAACUGAGACACGGUCCAGACUCCUACGGGAGGCAGCAGUGGGGAAUAUUGGACAAUGGGCGCAAGCCUGAUCCAGCCAUACCGCGUGGGUGAAGAAGGCCUUCGGGUUGUAAAGCCCUUUUGUUGGGAAAGAAAAGCAGCAGGUUAAUACCCCGCUGUUCUGACGGUACCCAAAGAAUAAGCACCGGCCAACUUCGUG
rnacentral:rRNA from 1 species